ACAGAAUUAUGUUGGAACAGAACAUUAUUUUAAACAGAGUAUUUGUAUACUAGACAUGCGCAAUAAUCUAAUCUAAAAAUAUUAUAAAUAGGUACAACAUUAAACACAAUACAUAAAUCAACAUAAUAAUCCCAAAACAUUUAGUACAAGCAUACAUAGACAACCCCGUAUUAGAAAGUCCAAACUGCUUCAUGGUGCUAUCAGGUGGCACGAAUCAUAUGCUGUUAUCUUCAGCAUAUGCGAGGUAUGACUGUUAAACAAGUUUAUAAACAUGUUACGCCGGAGAAUCUCACACACUGGGUUAGAGGCGUCUGUUAGCACACCAUGCCCAGGCCGAUGGGAGGUCAACUGGUUGGUUUUCAUUUAUCACUGGGAUAGAAUGUUUUCUUUUAUUCACUUCGAUGGCCUCUGCGAUGUUGAGAGCAAAGUUUUCUUUUAUCGGUUUAACGACUUGGGCUUGCGUCCAGUGGAUAGAUCGGA
rnacentral:lncRNA from 1 species